GCAUUCGUGGUCUAAUGGUAUGAUGUCUGCCUUCCAUUCAACCGAUGAUAGCAGGCGAACCGGGUUCGAUUCCCGGCGGAUGCA